UUUUCUGUUUUGGUGGGAAUCAUUUAAGGUCAAGACUGGGAUAAAAUAGAGGAGCAGAGUGGUCAGGUGUACUCACUCUGCUACUGAUCUGGUAAUGUGAAGAAUUCCAGAAAUGCCAGAUGUCUCAUUCAUCAGCAUUCAGAAAACCCAGGCAAAGAAAGCCACCUUAUUGCAGAAGUACAGUAUGGAAAAAUAGUUGUUUUACAGGCAUUGCUUUUUUUUCCCAGAAGCAGCCUUUUGCUGAGGAAAUGUGAUUGCAGAUGCUUUGUCUACAGCUUUAGCUUUGUGCCAAGCUGGAGAAAGGGAGAAGGACACAGCUCUGGUGCUGCCCAACAACCUGGUUAUACCAGCAAGGAAGAACAAGCCCCUUUAACAAGUGUGCUUUACUUCGUGACGUUCUGGACCAAAAUAAGUCCAAAGGAGGCUGAGGGAGGAGAAGAAGGAGCAUCAGCAAUGAUGUCAGUUAAGCCCGAGCAACUGUGAGUGAAAGAGCCGGUGUCUUUACAGAGUUGUGUGCUAACCCAAGCCCUCAUAGCGUACCCAUCAGCAAGUUUAGUGCUCCCUCUCGUGGCAGAUUCUGACCAGUAAAUCCGUCGUAACUCGUUAGUGGCAAAACGUGCUUGUGGUUAGCUAUACGUAUCUGGCAUCCAAACUAUUUUAAUGCUACUAUGUACCAAGCUUAAUAGACUUAUAAACACAGAUAGCACUGAAUUCUUUUUUAUUGACACUGGGUGGGUGGGUGGGGGGGAAUCUUUCACCAUCUGAUCAACUGAAGUUUGCCAAAUGAAAAUAGACAAAACAAAUGUUUAUGUACGUGCAAACAUUGCAGAUCAAACUGCUAAAAGAAAUAACUAAAAGACAGGUCUUGUGCUAAGAUCAAGCAGCAGAAAAAUAGCAAAUAGGUAAAUGACUAUUAAGUAGGUCUUACUUUGAAACUUCCCAUUUAAACAAAGAA